rnacentral:ncRNA from 1 species
UGUUAAAACAUUGAGAUGACUUUUUCCUAGUAUGAGAGGACCGAGAAGGAUGCACCUCUGGUGUUCCAGUUAUCGUGUCCACGAUAAACGCUAGGUAGUCAAGUGCGGAGCGGAUAAUUGUUGAAAGCAUCUAAGUAGUAAACCCACCCCAAGAUGAGUGCUCUCCUAUUUCGACUUUCCCAAAGUCUUUGGUAGCACAAUCGAGACAGCGAUGGGUUCUCUACCCCAGCGAGGAUGGAGCGAAAGAAGUUUUGAGAAUUCAAGAGAAGGUCACAGCAAGAUGAGCCGUUUCUAAUUAAUGAUAAGUGUCAAGUGGAAGUGCAAUGAUGUAUGCAGCUGAGACAUCCUAACAGACAGG